GAUGAACGCUAGCUACAGGCUUAACACAUGCAAGUCGAGGGGCAGCAUUUUAGUUUGCUUGCAAACUGAAGAUGGCGACCGGCGCACGGGUGAGUAACACGUAUCCAACCUGCCGAUAACUCCGGGAUAGCCUUUCGAAAGAAAGAUUAAUACCGGAUAGUAUACGAAUAUCGCAUGAUAUUUUUAUUAAAGAAUUUCGGUUAUCGAUGGGGAUGCGUUCCAUUAGUUUGUUGGCGGGGUAACGGCCCACCAAGACUACGAUGGAUAGGGGUUCUGAGAGGAAGGUCCCCCACAUUGGAACUGAGACACGGUCCAAACUCCUACGGGAGGCAGCAGUGAGGAAUAUUGGUCAAUGGGCGCGAGCCUGAACCAGCCAAGUAGCGUGAAGGAUGAAGGCUCUAUGGGUCGUAAACUUCUUUUAUAUGGGAAUAAAGUUUUCCACGUGUGGAAUUUUGUAUGUACCAUAUGAAUAAGGAUCGGCUAACUCCGUGCCAGCAGCCGCGGUAAUACGGAGGAUCCGAGCGUUAUCCGGAUUUAUUGGGUUUAAAGGGAGCGUAGGUGGAUUGUUAAGUCAGUUGUGAAAGUUUGCGGCUCAACCGUAAAAUUGCAGUUGAAACUGGCAGUCUUGAGUACAGUAGAGGUGGGCGGAAUUCGUGGUGUAGCGGUGAAAUGCUUAGAUAUCACGAAGAACUCCGAUUGCGAAGGCAGCUCACUAGACUGUCACUGACACUGAUGCUCGAAAGUGUGGGUAUCAAACAGGAUUAGAUACCCUGGUAGUCCACACAGUAAACGAUGAAUACUCGCUGUUUGCGAUAUACAGUAAGCGGCCAAGCGAAAGCAUUAAGUAUUCCACCUGGGGAGUACGCCGGCAACGGUGAAACUCAAAGGAAUUGACGGGGCCCGCACAAGCGGAGGAACAUGUGGUUUAAUUCGAUGAUACGCGAGGAACCUUACCCGGGCUUAAAUUGCAACAGAAUAUAUUGGAAACAGUAUAGCCGUAAGGCUGUUGUGAAGGUGCUGCAUGGUUGUCGUCAGCUCGUGCCGUGAGGUGUCGGCUUAAGUGCCAUAACGAGCGCAACCCUUAUCUUUAGUUACUAACAGGUGAUGCUGAGGACUCUAGAGAGACUGCCGUCGUAAGAUGUGAGGAAGGUGGGGAUGACGUCAAAUCAGCACGGCCCUUACGUCCGGGGCUACACACGUGUUACAAUGGGGGGUACAGAAGGCGGCUACCUGGCGACAGGAUGCUAAUCCCAAAAACCUCUCUCAGUUCGGAUCGAAGUCUGCAACCCGACUUCGUGAAGCUGGAUUCGCUAGUAAUCGCGCAUCAGCCAUGGCGCGGUGAAUACGUUCCCGGGCCUUGUACACACCGCCCGUCAAGCCAUGAAAGCCGGGGGUACCUGAAGUACGUAACCGCAAGGAGCGUCCUAGGGUAAAACUGGUAAUUGGGGCUAA
rnacentral:rRNA from 1 species